rnacentral:lncRNA from 1 species
GGCAACACACUUGGCAGGCUGCUGCUGCACGGCCUGGUGGGCAACGCGCGGGAGUCUGAGCGCGUGCGCAUGGCGAGUGUGGCUGCCGGGAUCGAUCAGCACAUCAGCGAGACCAACGAUGCGCUGAAAGUGACUCCCGAGGACAUGACUAGGCUGUUUGACCACUCUGUCCUCCCACACCUCGGCUGCUCGGGGGGAGACUCUGCACCAACUGC